UACAGAGGUCCCAAGCGUUGUUCGGAUUCAUUGGGCGUAAAGGGUGCGUAGGCGGCGGGGUAAGUCGGGUGUGAAAUCUCAGAGCUCAACUCUGAAACUGCACUCGAUACUGCUUUGCUAGAGGACUGGAGAGGAGAUUGGAAUUCACGGUGUAGCAGUGAAAUGCGUAGAGAUCGUGAGGAAGACCAGUGGCGAAGGCGGAUCUCUGGACAGUUCCUGACGCUGAGGCGCGAAGGCCAGGGGGAGCAAACGGG
rnacentral:rRNA from 1 species